rnacentral:rRNA from 1 species
UGGGGAAUAUUGGACAAUGGGGGCAACCCUGAUCCAGCAAUGCCGCGUGUGUGAAGAAGGUUUUCGGAUUGUAAAGCACUUUCGACGGGGACGAUGAUGACGGUACCCGUAGAAGAAGCCCCGGCUAACUUCGUGCCAGCAGCCGCGGUAAUACGAAGGGGGCUAGCGUUGCUCGGAAUGACUGGGCGUAAAGGGCGUGUAGGCGGUUUGUACAGUCAGAUGUGAAAUCCCCGGGCUUAACCUGGGAGCUGCAUUUGAUACGUGCAGACUAGAGUGUGAGAGAGGGUUGUGGAAUUCCCAGUGUAGAGGUGAAAUUCGUAGAUAUUGGGAAGAACACCGGUGGCGAAGGCGGCAACCUGGCUCAUAACUGACGCUGAGGCGCGAAAAGCGUGGGGAGCAAACAGGAUUAGAUACCCUGGUAGUCCACGCUGUAAACGAUGUGUGCUAGAUGUUGGGUAACUUAGUUAUUCAGUGUCGCAGUUAACGCGUUAAGCACACCGCCUGGGGAGUACGGCCGCAAGGUUG